rnacentral:piRNA from 1 species
UUUCCAAGGGAAUGCCACCUUCUAGAAAGC